rnacentral:rRNA from 2 species
UAUUGAUUGGUGCUUGCAUCAUGAUUUACAUUUGAGUGAGUGGCGAACUGGUGAGUAACACGUGGGAAACCUGCCCAGAAGCGGGGGAUAACACCUGGAAACAGAUGCUAAUACCGCAUAACAACUUGGACCGCAUGGUCCGAGUUUGAAAGAUGGCUUCGGCUAUCACUUUUGGAUGGUCCCGCGGCGUAUUAGCUAGAUGGUGGGGUAACGGCUCACCAUGGCAAUGAUACGUAGCCGACCUGAGAGGGUAAUCGGCCACAUUGGGACUGAGACACGGCCCAAACUCCUACGGGAGGCAGCAGUAGGGAAUCUUCCACAAUGGACGAAAGUCUGAUGGAGCAACGCCGCGUGAGUGAAGAAGGGUUUCGGCUCGUAAAACUCUGUUGUUAAAGAAGAACAUAUCUGAGAGUAACUGUUCAGGUAUUGACGGUAUUUAACCAGAAAGCCACGGCUAACUACGUGCCAGCAGCCGCGGUAAUACGUAGGUGGCAAGCGUUGUCCGGAUUUAUUGGGCGUAAAGCGAGCGCAGGCGGUUUUUUAAGUCUGAUGUGAAAGCCUUCGGCUCAACCGAAGAAGUGCAUCGGAAACUGGGAAACUUGAGUGCAGAAGAGGACAGUGGAACUCCAUGUGUAGCGGUGAAAUGCGUAGAUAUAUGGAAGAACACCAGUGGCGAAGGCGGCUGUCUGGUCUGUAACUGACGCUGAGGCUCGAAAGUAUGGGUAGCAAACAGGAUUAGAUACCCUGGUAGUCCAUACCGUAAACGAUGAAUGCUAAGUGUUGGAGGGUUUCCGCCCUUCAGUGCUGCAGCUAACGCAUUAAGCAUUCCGCCUGGGGAGUACGGCCGCAAGGCUGAAACUCAAAGGAAUUGACGGGGGCCCGCACAAGCGGUGGAGCAUGUGGUUUAAUUCGAAGCUACGCGAAGAACCUUACCAGGUCUUGACAUACUAUGCAAAUCUAAGAGAUUAGACGUUCCCUUCGGGGACAUGGAUACAGGUGGUGCAUGGUUGUCGUCAGCUCGUGUCGUGAGAUGUUGGGUUAAGUCCCGCAACGAGCGCAACCCUUAUUAUCAGUUGCCAGCAUUAAGUUGGGCACUCUGGUGAGACUGCCGGUGACAAACCGGAGGAAGGUGGGGAUGACGUCAAAUCAUCAUGCCCCUUAUGACCUGGGCUACACACGUGCUACAAUGGAUGGUACAACGAGUUGCGAACUCGCGAGAGUAAGCUAAUCUCUUAAAGCCAUUCUCAGUUCGGAUUGUAGGCUGCAACUCGCCUACAUGAAGUCGGAAUCGCUAGUAAUCGCGGAUCAGCAUGCCGCGGUGAAUACGUUCCCGGGCCUUGUACACACCGCCCGUCACACCAUGAGAGUUUGUAACACCC